CCUACGGGUGGCAGCAGUGAGGAAUAUUGGUCAAUGGGCGGAAGCCUGAACCAGCCAAGUCGCGUGAGGGAAGAAGGCCCUACGGGUCGUAAACCUCUUUUGCCGGGGAGCAAGGGCGGGGACGUGUCCCGGCCCGGAGAGUACCCGGAGAAAAAGCACCGGCGAACUCCUUGCCAGCAGCCGCGGUAAUACGGAGGAUGCGAGCGUGAGCAGGAUUUAUUGGGUUGAAGGGGUGCGUAGGCGGGCUUUGCAGUCAGCGGUAAAAACUCGGGGCUCAACCCCGUCCGGCCGUUGAAACUGGGGGCCUUGAGUGGGCGAGAGGCAGGCGGAAUGCGUGGUGUAGCGGUGAAAUGCAUAGAUAUCACGCAGAACCCCGAUUGCGAAGGCAGCCUUCCGGCGCCCUACUGACGCUGAGGCACGAAAGUGCGGGGAUCGAACAGGAUUAGAUACCCGAGUAGUC
rnacentral:rRNA from 1 species